ACUAUUAUAGGAGCACCGGUUUGAAGCAGGAUCGUCAACACCAAGGGUAAUAUUGGUAUUUCACUCUAACCCAUGCUUGCUUCAAUAAAGAACACGUGUCCUUUUCUACCAUCAUCAUCAUCAAAGAGACACUAGAACGUUCCAUUCCACUUUCUUUCCAAUUUUCAGUUCAGCCAUUUCUAGCAAUUUUUUUUCUUUCACUUUCUUCAUUUGAACUCAUUUACUUAGUAACUCCAACGUCUAUUCAAUUCUCCAUCCUGUAUUAUUCUUUUUUUAUUGGUUGAUUUCAAAGUUGGGUGACAUGCUUGAAAUUAGUUUGGUUUGCUGCAUCUAAGAGUGUGAUAGUCUUGUUUUACUCCAAGAAUGGAAAACCCAAUUCGUCAUUUCCUAGUUCAAGGGGAAGAAAUAUACGAGCAUGCGGGAAUCCAAGGAGAAGUUAUAGUGAUUCGUGUGAGCCUCAUAUUUGAGGGCCGCUACUCUUCGGAUGUGCACGGGUAACCUGCUCACUUUGCAAUAGCUCGCAAACCACACAAGAGAUGUGAACUGCACUGGGCAAGCCUGGUGCAACGGGCUCUGAUGGAGGUGGUCUGUUUGCACUUAACAUUUGAUGGUCCCAAAAGUAUAGAUAAGAUGGUAUUGAUCCACUCUUUUAUAUAUAAAUAAUAGAAAAGCUUGCUUCCGUAUAUUGACCUUGUGCAUACUGCAUACUAGGGUUUUUAAUCUUUCUAUACACAAUCCCUUGGAAAGUUGAAUUAUCCUAACUUUAUCAAACUAAAGAAGAUCUCAUGGAAACAGACGAGUUUUUCUUCACACCGGAAUCCAUGGUACUAAAGAUGUCUCCUUUUUAUUCCCUUGACUUAGUAGUCCUUUAUUUCAUAUUAUGGAAUUUCACUGAGAAAUUGGUAUCUGACUUUCAAACUGAUUACAAUUUUGCAGUGUUAAAGUAUACAACCACAGACUACUAUAACUUCUGACAUUUACUCUUGGUGGAUCUGUUCCAGCAUUUCACACAAAUAUAAAUGUUACAAAAUGUGGUGGUGGAGCACAAACGAUGCUAUGUGUAUGUCAGUAGAUACAAUCUGCAAUUUAGACAUUUUCCUAGAAAAAUUGAUACUUAAUUCUUACAGAGAAAGAGAAAAAGAACAAGAAAAUGAUGACAAACUUGGUCAUGUAGACCAGCAGUAUCAUUCUUAUUAAAUUAAAUUAAAAAUAAACAUGGACAAGUGUCUAUACAUAAUACUUGAGUUUUUCUGAUGUCACAAUCCAAAUUAAAAGAUUAUUGAAGUUUUAAGAUCAUGAAAAAGUUGGAUAUGGAAAUAGAAAAAAAGCAAGAAAGAAAAGAGAUACUUGAAUCUGAAUAUAGCAUGUUCUCUAUUUGUAAUCCAUUAGAGCAAAAUGUUGAAUGCAAUUAGCACAUCCAUGUGAAUGUUGAAGUAGAAGAAACUUCUUUAUGGACCAAAGAAAGAAGGAGACUUUCUUUAUGCAUCUGAUGAGGUUAAUGGCUUUGAGAAAGUUACAUCUGUAAGAUGCGCAAUUGUAUUGCGAUCAACUGAUAAAGUGAUUGAUUACUGAAGCACUUCAAGAGCAUGGCCCUUACUUUUGUUUUCAUUGCUUACAAUUAUUGCUUGUAAAACCUGAAUUAAAAACAGAUUUAACAUUAGAAAUUUUUGUUUUACUUCUCUAUGAUAUUUUUAACUAUAAAAGGUAGAGAAUUCUCUACUGAAUUUUUUUCCUCACUUGUUGCAUUUGCAUCUCUGUACAUAAAUGUGACAAUUAAUAUUUUCAGAAAGUUGCUUUUCUAACUUAAUAUCCGGAAAGAGCGCGUAAAUUUCCCUUUUCAACUGUUUAGUUUUACUUUUUGAGAUUUUGCAAAUAAUAAGUACCAUUUUAAUGCUACAAUAGUUACUUGGAAAUACUUAGAUAUGAUAGCUUUAUCAGUUAAGUUGCUUUCCUUUGAUCUAAUUUAUAUAAUUGCAACUAUGCCCUUUUUCGGUUAUCAAAUUACAAGAUAAUGUUGAUGAUUCUUUUCGCUCUUAAAAUAAUUUAAUCAGGUAUAAUUACAUAACUAUUCUGCAGUUCAUGCCAUUA